AAGGUGAAUAAAGAGGCGGUGGAGACAGGACCCGAGACAACAGGAAAGGGGAAAACCGAAAAGAAGAAAUCCUCUAAGAACAAAGGAGAAAUAGAUGGAAAGAAACCAUGUAAGAGCAAAGUGGCUCCCCUUGGCUCUGAUGGUGCAGUGGCUGCAGAUGAGAAAAGGAAGAAACCAUCUCUCCUCCAGCGUAUCUUCAAUGCCUUUG